UUACGUUUUCACCACUGAAUCUUUCUGCAGAGGAGACUUUGUUCUUGAAUCUGAACUUCUGAGUUCAAAGGAGAGUCUUGAACGAACUGAAAACUACACUGAAACUGAGAGCACAUUCUUGUUUGAUUUUCAGUGGCAUGGAAAAUAUUGGUGCACAAGGUGAGUCGCAGAUGACCACGUGGGCCUGAAACUGAGAUUACUAAGAGGAAGUACACCUUCAAGUACCAUGUGCAACAAGGAGGCCAAAGACUUGCUGUUUGUAAGCUCACAUUUAUGUCAGUCUUUCAACUGACCAACAGUCGCCUACAGGCCUCAUAGCAUUCAUCGUGCAGUGAGAGAGGGGAUAAGAGAGCAUAUCUUGAGCUUCCCACGCCAACCGAACCACUACUCACGCAUGAAGGAAGAUGUGGAGAGGGAGUACCUGAGCCCUGAUUUAAACCUGCUCCGCAUGUUCCGCCUGUACAAGGAAAACAAUCCAACAUCCACUGCAAAGUUCUGGCUCU